CAGCCGCCGCGGGAAUACGGAGGAUCCAAGCGUUAUUCGGAAUCAUUGGGUUUAAAGGGUCCGUAGGCGGUCUUGUAAGUCAGUGGUGAAAGCCCAUCGCUCAACGGUGGAACGGCCAUUGAUACUGCAGGACUUGAAUUAUUGGGAAGUAACUAGAAUAUGUAGUGUAGCGGUGAAAUGCUUAGAGAUUACAUGGAAUACCAAUUGCGAAGGCAGGUUACUACCAAUUGAUUGACGCUGAUGGACGAAAGCGUGGGUAGCGAACAGGAUUAGAUACCCCCGUAGUCCCUGUCUCUUAUAC
rnacentral:rRNA from 1 species